rnacentral:rRNA from 1 species
CCUACGGGGAGCAGCAGUGAGGAAUAUUGGUCAAUGGGCGAGAGCCUGAACCAGCCAAGUCGCGUGAGGGAGUACUGCCCUAUGGGUUGUAAACCUCUUUUGUCGGGGAGCAAAAGCCGGACGUGUCCGGCUGUGAGAGUACCCGAAGAAAAAGCAUCGGCUAACUCCGGGCCAGCAGCCGCGGUAAUACGGAGGAUGCGAGCGUUAUCCGGCUUUAUUGGGUUUAAAGGGUGCGCAGGCGGAUUGUUAAGUCAGCGGUAAAAUCGUGGGGCUCAACCCCAUCCAGCCGUUGAAACUGGGGAUCUAGAGUGUGCGAGAGGUAUGCGGAAUGCGUGGUGUAGCGGUGAAAUGCAUAGAUAUCACGCAGAACCCCGAUUGCGAAGGCAGCAUACCGGUGCACAACUGACGCUCAGGCACGAAAGCGUGGGUAUCGAACAGGAUUAGAUACCCCAGUAGUC